UACAUGUGGGGCAAGCGUUGUUCGGAAUUACUGGGCAUAAAGGGUGCGUAGGCGGCUUGUUAAGUCAGGGGUGAAAGUUUUCGGCCCAACCGGAAAAUUGCCUUUGAUACUGGCGAGCUGGAGUGCGUGAGGGGUGACCGGAACGAGUGGUGUAGCGGUGAAAUGCGUAGAUAUCUGGAGGAACACCGGUGGCGAAGGCGGCAUCCUGGACCGAGAUUGACGCUGAGGCGCGAAAGCGUGGGGAGCAAACAGG
rnacentral:rRNA from 1 species